rnacentral:rRNA from 1 species
UUUGGGAGUAAACGGGUGGUACCUGAAAGUUUGAAAGGGGAGAUUCAAGUCUCACCGCAUAUUUGGGGCAGACGUGAGCAGAGAUGGUGUUUUUGGUGGUCGAGGGGCGACUCUCGGCCCGCAGGCGCGCCAAUCCGCGGCCUCUGUCUCUCCCGGCAUCGGAGUGAUGCACUUCUCCCCAAGUAGGACGUCGCAACCCAUCAAGCGCUGGCCAAAGGCCGCAGGUGGAGCCUGCGAGGCCUGCCUCUCCACGAUGGGGGGCCGACCAUGCAUGACUCCGCGAGUCCUGGCCAGGAGCACGAUGGUACGAAGUAAUGGAAGGAGUCGAUGCGCCACCACUUAUGUUGGUAUCCCGCCCUCCACAAGUGCCUGCGGGAGAUUGGAUACUGGGCCUGGCCCAAUCCUGGUCCCAUUUGUGGGGCUGUUUGCGAGAAGGAGGUGUCCUCAGAUGGUAUUGAUUCUCCGGUCGGCAAUGCUUCAGCUUGGAUGGCCUACCCUACCU